AACAAGCUUCAGAACAAGAAGGCGGAUAACAGAGGCAUAAACAAACCUCCCACCCGACAAGACAAAAUAGGCGAAUGCACGCUUGCUAGGAUCACCAGGUGGGUAACGCUCAUGGUUAUGGUCAUCAUAGACAAUCUUUGAGUUAGGUGUUUUGACAGCUUCCACGGUGGCUGGGACUUCCGAACCAAAUCCUAUCUCAUUUCCUUGAGCAAGGACUUGGGAAGAGAAACCUGCAAAUAGAAUGUAAUUAAGCUCACUACCACUGGAAAUUAGUGUAAAACAAAAGUACAUAAACACAGAAUCCAUGAGGUAUGAGAUGCAGGAGUAUGAGAAAUUCAUCCAAGAAAAUAAUACUCAUCAACCCAAAACUCAAGAAAACAAAUUCAAUUAUCAAAAUCUUAGAUAUCAGGCAGCCAGUGUUAACCACACUAAGGAUUACAUCCACCAAGGAUUUACAAGCAGGAAGCUUUCAUCAUCAAACAAAGGAUUAUCUAAUAACUUUUCCAUUCAUAAUCGAUUAAUAAACUCAAAUAUCUAUUUCCUUCAGGAAGAAAGAAGUGAUUACAGAAGGAGCUUGCAAACACUAAAAGCAUAAUGGAGGAGCACAACAGACACAUUCAAACAAUUCUACCAUGAUAGCAAAUUCAGUUGAAAACACAAGAAAACUCCCAAGCUAAGAUUGCAAACAGCUCUUUCGCUUAACAAAACAUAAUUACCAGGGUGCAAGUUCCUCCACAUUCCUUUACAGACAUAGUAUAUAGUUAACACAUCAACGUCCCUAAUAAUGAAGAAUACAAUGACACACAAAAUAAAAAAUUUAAGAAAUGAAGAUGCCAAAGUGAAUCACACUAACGCAUACCAAGGUACAAACAUGAAGACAAUUGGGAAGCUUUUCACGACAAACAAAGGAGAAUCUCGGAACUGGUCAAUUUAUAUCCGAUCAAUCUAACUAAAAUGAUCAUUUCCAUCUGGAUACAGAGGUAAUCAUUAAAGGCAUAACUAGUCCAGUAAGGAGAAAUGGUAAAGCAAGCUAUUACACACCGUCUAGUUCACGAAAUUCAAAUCAGAUAUCACGUUUGUUCGGAAGGAUCAUCGCCCAGAUACAAUAAUAGUAAUCUCAUACAUGCUAAAAGAAAUGAUUUUGUAUUUUCUAAUGUUGAAUCAUUCGAUCAAUGAAUCUGUAAACAGCAUCAGAAAUGAAAAUCAAUCAAUCUACGAGAAAGUGUUGUAGAUCAGCAGACCUCUUAUAAGGCUCCGUUGGUAAGAACUGAAAGAUGAGAGAUCUGCAGAAGGGACGGAUCUAGGCGCUGACGCGGAGUCGCCUCCAUCGGAAAGGGUGUGGUCACGGGAGACGACGAAGGACGUCGCAGUCGAAGAUCUCUGCGAAACAGAGAAAAGCCUCCUCCCUGCAACUCGCAGCAUCUCUGCUCAAUGGGUAAUGGCCGAAUCUAGGGUUUCGUUCAGAGCAAGAAGAACACAAUCGUCAGGUUAGGAACGGCCGAUGCUAACAGAAGAAUAGUCCCUUUAAAAUUGUCUUCGAGAAAAGGUCAAUUUGUUUUUUGUUUUUAUUUUUGCUUCCUAAUUACCUUCUUAUUUUUAUUUAUAGAUAUUAAAACAUACUUACAUGAUUUUAAUGGAAUUUUGUUUGUUUUACCAUAUAGUUUAGUUCAAAAUAAUAUAAUCAUGGAUUCAUGGGCAUAGGGAUAAUAUGUGACAUAAAUAUAUAAAUUUCAGUAUAAUAAUAAAAGUAGAUAAAAGAGAAAAUAAUAAUUUUUGAAAAACAGAGUAAUCCUUUUUUUUUGGUUGGAAACGGGAGAAAGUUUAUAGCUUACUUUGAAGUUUCUUCGAAAUGUCAUCUCCAUGAAAGAUUGAAAACGUUCACAAACACCUUCAACCAUAACAACUGUCUGCGGCUAGAAACUUAAGAUACGAAAGGAAACUCUCUUACAUACGAUAUACAUACUGUUAGAUAAGAAAAAUAGGCAUGAUACUAUUCAAAAAUUCUUUUCAAAUAAUAGACAGAGACUAUGAACAAUGUCUUUCACCAGAUGGGACAGAUAGAGAUACUAAGUCAUACAAAUGACAAGUUUGUAUUAUUCAGCAAAACAAGACAAUCUUGCUGAGAGACCAGUAGUGUGAGGAAAGCGAACUUGCACGCUAAAAUGCCGGGAAAAUAUCAAAACAAAAACAUAUUAAGAUCAUUCAGACCAAGACAUUGACUCUUCUCUUGUGCUUUAUUCAUUAACCAAUGAGUAACUUAUUCUCUUCCAGGAAGCUGUACGUCGGUACUUCAAGGUUGUAUGGUGCAGGACCUUUCCGAAUUCGUCCAGAUAUAUCGUAAUGUGAACCGUGACACGGACAAAACCAACCUCCAUAAUCACCAGCAUUAGGCAAGGGGAUGCACCCCAAAUGAGUGCAGACUCCAACCACGACUAACCAUUCUGGAUUCUUGACCCUAACCGAGUCUUCUUGUGGGUCCCUCAGGGAUCCAACAUCCACGCUAUUGGCCAGUUUGAUGUCAUCUUCUGUUCUUCGCCUGAUGAAGACAGGCUUACCACGCCACUUGACUGUAACAGUCGUUCCUGGUUCGAUGCUCCCUAGGUCAACCUCAAGGGACGCAAGGGCCAGGACAUCUUUACUUGCAGACAUGCUCACAACAAGCUUCAGAACAAGAAGACGGAUAACAGAGGCAUAAACAAACCUUCCACCCGACAAGACAAAAUAAGCGAAUGCACGCUUGCUAGGGUCACCAGGUGGGUAACGCUCAUGGUUAUGGUCAUCGUACACAAUCUUUGAGUUAGGUGUUUUGACAGCUUCCACGGUGGCUGGGACUUCUGAACCAAAACCUAUCUCAUUUCCUUGAGCAAUGACUUGGGAAGAGAAACCUGAAAAAUUGCAUGAAACAUUAAUAUAUUCACAUCAAGGAAAACUUUGUUUUAGGUCAGGUGUUCAACAACAAUAAGUAUUAAGCAACAAAACGUUCAAGAAAUGACUACCACAAUCAUGAUUUGGCAUUAAUAUUACGGAUCUCAAGAAAAACAUUAGUAUAUAAAAGAGGAAUCCAUAAGAUAAAAGACUAAUGCAGGAGUAUAACAGUUUCAUCCAAACAAUUUCAAAUAAAACUCAGUGACAACUAAACUCUAUUUAAAUGAAAAAUCAAAAUAAGAAACUCAAUGAUCAAAUGCUCUUCAUUAUUGGGAAGCUCACUAAACAGCAGAAAUCUUUAAGCUAAGAUCAUAAACGUAGCUCUUUAGGUUAACAAAAUUAAAUUCCAAAUUUCAGGUUGCAAGUUUUUGCCUUUUAGCUGUUAAGAAUCCGUCAAACCAUGUAUACUUUGUUAACAUGAUAUGCCCACAGAUGUUAAAACGACAAUCCCCCUAAUAAUAAGAAAAUUGAUGGGAUAGAAAGGAUCAAAAAGGCUUUUCGAAUCAAACAAAGGAUUAUCUCGGAAUUGCUCAGUUCAUAAGUGAUUAAUCAACAAAAAAUUCAACCCAUUUCCCUCUGGACAUAAGGAUGCAUCAUU
rnacentral:lncRNA from 1 species